ACUUGGCAUUUGGUGAGCAAAUUAAGGUAAGUAACAUGUCUUAAUCUUAUUAUGGAUUAUAUAUCACGUUUUAUAAGAUGAAAAAGUAUUAUUUAAGCAAUUGGAAUUGUGUAUAUAAAUUGUGGAAAAAGCAAUCCUGAUAUAAUCUUAUGUUUUAUCAAAUAUUUGUGACUACUCGAUUAUGAAAUUUAUAUGAUUAUUUAUGUUUUCACAAAAUUAGGAUCAAGCAUGUGUUAGCAAAUGAUUACAUGAUUUUGGAUCAUGAUGAUUAUUAUAUUAUAUACACAUGAUUAUGAUGAUGGAGAAAGAUGCAUAGAAAAAUAAAGUUUUCAGCAUGAUCAUGAGUUUUAUUUAGCAUGAUGCCAUUAUUCACUUUCCAAUGUAUCUAUUAGAAAAGAUUUAUGAAAAGCAUGAUAUGUUUUAAGAACUCUCAGAUCGCUAUGCACGACCCCGGCCAGUGGGUAACAGUAAACUAGGCAUAU
rnacentral:lncRNA from 1 species